CCUACGGGGCGCAGCAGUCGAGAAUCAUUCACAAUGGGGGAAACCCUGAUGGUGCGACGCCGCGUGGGGGAAUGAAGGUCUUCGGAUUGUAAACCCCUGUCAUGUGGGAGCAAAUUAAAAAGAUAGUACCACACGAGGAAGAGACGGCUAACUCUGUGCCAGCAGCCGCGGUAAUACAGAGGUCUCAAGCGUUGUUCGGAAUCACUGGGCGUAAAGCGUGCGUAGGCUGUUUCGUAAGUCGUGUGUGAAAGGCGCGGGCUCAACCCGCGGACGGCACAUGAUACUGCGAGACUAGAGUAAUGGAGGGGGAACCGGAAUUCUCGGUGUAGCAGUGAAAUGCGUAGAUAUCGAGAGGAACACUCGUGGCGAAGGCGGGUUCCUGGACAGUAACUGACGCUGAGGCACGAAGGCCAGGGGAGCGAAAGGGAUUAGAUACCCUAGUAGUC
rnacentral:rRNA from 1 species